UCAUACCAAAAUUUCAUUGA
rnacentral:siRNA from 1 species